rnacentral:lncRNA from 1 species
UGUUGUUCCAGAGUCGGGCUGUGCCGAGGGAAUGUGCUGCUUCCCCCAUUUUGCAGACAGGGACACUGAGGCUCAGUGAGGGUGAGGGCUCACCCAGGUUGCAGAGCCUGCCCAAAGCUGGGUCUUCUGGCUCCAAGUCGGGAGCACGCUGCACACCUCAUGCCAUGGAUCAGGCCUUGAAGCUCUCCGUGAAGGUGUACAUUGUGCCCCUCAUUGACCGGCAGAGAGCCAGGCCUCAGGGACGAGAUCCUGGACAGUCAUUGCAUAUAAGCCGUGGUGAGUAGAUAUGGCUCACGGGAACUGGGCAGGUGGAAUCCACACCUCACCGCGUUGCUGGGAAGAUGGAGGAGGUGACGCAUGGGAAGACCUCCCCACCACCAGGUCGCUCCAGUUUGGUGCCAGCGCCUGGAGGGAGAGGCGUGGCGAGGGCUGUGCUGCCUAGGAUCCACUGAGUGGCUCUUGCUGGCGUGUCAGCUGCGCGCGAACCAGGGCUGGGAGGCUCGG